CCUCGCGGCCUGGGCGGGCGUGGCGCCUCCCGCUUCCCGCGGGUUGGGUCCCGGGCCGUGCUGGGAGGACGGCGGGUCCUGCGGGACUCCGCGGCCCUCAAGGAGGAACGGCCAGGCCAGAGGACAGCAGCGGCUGUUUGGGUGCCGAGUCUUUCCUGCUCCUGCACGUCACGGGACUCGAAGAUACACACCUAAGAGUUUCCAGAGUCUGACUGGAUCCUGGAUGAGACGCUGUUUCAGCAACAGUCCCUGGAACCUGUCACAGGUAGGGGUCAGCAGCCACGACUGCAAGUUCUGGAAAGGAAAACACAGAGGACGGUCACCCAUUCCACACCACACCACCGCAGUGUGACUGAUUGCUUGUGCCAGACCUUUCCUGGCAACUCCAACGCUCAUUUAUUGUGCUUACAUUGCCCUGAAACAUGAAUGGCCUGAGCAUCA